GACGAACGCUGGCGGCGUGCUUAACACAUGCAAGUCGAACGGAAAGGCCCUGCUUUUGUGGGGUUCUCGAUUGGCGAACGGGUGAGUAACACGUGAGUAACCUGCCCUUGACUUUGGGAUAACUUCAGGAAACUGAGGCUAAUACCGGAUAGGAUCUCCUGCUGCAUGGUGUGGGUUGGAAAGUUUCGGCUGUUGGGGCUGGACUCGCGGCUUAUCAGCUUGUUGGUGGGGUAGUUGCUUACCAAGGCUUUGACGGUUAGCCGGCCUGAGAGGGUGACCGGCUACAUUGGGACUGAGGUACGGACCAGACUCGUACGGGAGGCAGCAGUGGAGAAUAUUGCACAAUGAGCCGAAGUCUGAUGCAGAAACGUCGCGUGCGGAAUGACGGCCUUCGGGUUGUAAACAGCUUUCGCCUGUGACGAAGCGUGAGUGACGGUAAUGGGUAAAGAAGCACCGGCUAACUACGUG
rnacentral:rRNA from 1 species